rnacentral:ncRNA from 1 species
GGGUCCGGCUGUUCGCCGGUUAAAAGGGUACGCGAGCUGGGUUUAGAACGUCGUGAGACAGUAAAAUGACCGUUGCUGUCUAAAAAUCUGGCUAAUUGCUGGAAAAUCUGAGUAUCCCGUAUUACUACUUGACGAUUUAGUCUCUAUAUGAGAUCAUAAUCUAAAGGAGUGAAAAUAUAUGGGUGCAGACAAUCAGCAGGAAAGGCCUUAAGCACGAAGAUGCACGAAUAAAAUAACGAAUACACACUAAUUUAUUUGUGUUAAUUCGAUAAAAAUUCGUGAUAAUUUGUGCUCAAGGAAUCUUCAGAGACUAUACGCCAGACUCUCCAAAAGGAGAAGAAGAUAUAGUCCGAACUGUAUAGCGAUAUGCAG